GUAAGACGUAACCUAAAAAUAUUAUAAAUUGAAAUAUUUCUUCACACAUUCGCAGUUGAAUUGUAUGAAAUGUAUAUUAUUUAAAAUAAAUGUACACUGGUUUGUGAUGUAUCUCCAAUUUACCAGGCUUCAUCUUAUUUUAGAGAAAACUAACAAUAUUUCAAAAUGACUGAAUCUGAUUUGACUUCUGUGUGGGAUGUUGAUAUUGGACUAUUAAUUAAGAUGGUUAAAAAUUUUCCUUAUCUUUAUAACCAAAAUUAUGAGGAAUUUAAAAAUGUAGAAUUGAGAGAACGAACAUGGGCGAAAAUUUCAACAAACCUCAAAAUUUCUAUCAGUGAUUGUCAAAGACUUUGGAAAAAUUUAAGAGACAAAUAUAGUCGAGAGAGAAGGUCACUCAAUGGACAAGGAAGUUCCGCAUGGGAAUUUUAUGAAUCAAUGAAAUUUCUCGAUGGUUUCGUACGUCGUAGAAGAAGGGCGAAGAAAUCUCAAAAUAGAAAUUUGAUUAACAAUUCAAGUACCAAGAAUGAGAUUAAAAAGGAAGAUAAUAAUUCAGCUACCGAGAUUCAAGUAUGGGACGAAGAGACUGUCGAUUCGAGCAUUUCCCCAGAAAAUUUACAAUUUUUAGAGGAUGAAAAUUAUGAUAACGGAGAGGCGGAAAUUACGUUAGAUCUGAUUGAUAAUUUACCAGUGAAAGAGGUUAACGAACAAGAGAAUUCGGUUAAUAUUGUAAGAUAUCGAACAUCCGAAGAGGCUUUUGGUGCUUACGUGGCCUCUAGACUUUUAGAUUUUCCUUUAGAUGAUCGACAAGCGAAGAAAGUCAAAAUAUUCAAAGUUUUGGAAGAUCUAGAUCAUAUUUUGUAGCUCUGCUUAUUAUUUUAUAUAUAUGUAUAUGUUUUGUUAUAGAACUCGCACGUAAAUUUUGUAUAAAUGUUAAAAAAAAUUUUUUUUCAUUUGCCCUCGCUCUACAGAGAAAAAGUUUUUCUAUAUCAGAGCCAUUCUAAAAAUAAUCAUACCCCACACUCUUUUUUUCUUCUUCAUAGAGUACUAAACCGAAACAUUUUGAUUAAUAAAAUAACUACAUUACAUGAUAUCAUCUCACUUGUCUAUUUGUUAACGCACUACGAGGGUUGCCUGAAAAGUUAACCUAACUCAACAAACUAUAUUUGUUUUCAUAAUCAUUUUGAUUCCUCAACGUAGUCUUACUCCAAUCUUCUUAAUCUUUCCAAAUAUGUGAUAAGUUUAUUCGAUUUGCAGCAUUUUUUAUUGUUGAAUGCUCUAGUGCAGUUUUUACCAAACCAUGGAUUGUUGUCUGCAAACACCUUGGGUUGAAGUACUAUACCUGCCAGGAUUACUUCCUAAAUCGCGUUUGAAUACACUGAAAGGUCAUUGGAAUUGAAGCAAACAUCAUUACAAAGAAAUAUAAAGACAAAAUCCUUUAGAUGCCUCCAUUUGGCCGAUCUAUAUUGCCAAGCGGAUCCUAACUUUGAAUGUUUUUUUACACUUUUCUGUAAUUAGUUUGUGAUCUGAUGAUUCUAGUGGUACAAGUACAGUCGCAUUGUACAGACAAGGGUCUGUUGGUAGAAACAGGUCUAAGAGGCUACCAAAGUCACCAUCUCAAUCGGGGAUGCUAGUUGGUUCUUUGAUAAGUUGAGUUAGUACGUGACUAUUGAUAAAAUCUUCAGUUUCCCGCCCCUCAUUCAGCUGAUGUGAUGAACAUGAAAGUCACCAGCGAUAACAAUAUCUGCGUUUGGAUGGUUUGACUGCAGAUAAUCGAUUUGUCCGGCGAGGUCUGCGUAUAUCUGCCUAGGAAGACUUUUGUACUUUGAGUGGUUGUUUUAAACCACAAUAUCAAAUUCUAAAAGAUCAAGAUACUUUCGAUAUAAAAGAAAUAUACUCUUUAGAUAUUUUGGUCUGAUAAAUCCUCCAGACCAGCCUCCACCCGGAUAUCCGAACGGGAUAUUUUAGUCUAGAAGGUGCCAUCAUGUUUCUUUUCGCACCCUGGAAACCGGAUACAUCGGCACAUCGACGAAACUUGGAACCCUUAGGGCCAAUUCACGUCACCUAGAUCCGAUGCGGUGGUAUUUCACCUGUUUGGGUACAAUAUAAAAUAAAACAUUAAAGUCAACAAGCUUUAUUGUAAAAUGUAAAAAUAUUUAAUACUUACAUAAUACUAUACAUGAUUAUAAAAAAAGAAAAUACAAAAAAAUACUUGAAAUUACUACAAAAUUUGUUUCAAUAUUUCUGUCGUUCAAAACAAAUUGUUGCUUUUGUCACUGUCUUACUCGGUAGGGAAAAGGGUCGCACAAUCAACUGCUUUCAUUUCAUCAUAAAAAGUGAAUUAUGUAAGAUUUGUAAUGGUGUUACAACAUUCAAUAAAUUUCAAGAAAAUU